GAUGAACGCUGGCGGCGUGCCUAAUACAUGCCAGUCGAGCGAACAGACGAGGUGCUUGCUCCUCUGACGUUAGCGGCGGACGGGUGAGUAACAUGUGGCUAACCUACCUAUAAGACUGGGAUAAAUUCGGGAAACCGGAGCUAAUACCGGAUAAUAUAUUGAACCGGAUGGUUCAAUAGUGAAAGACGGUUUUGCUUUCAAUUAUAGAUGGAUCCGCGCCGCAUUAGCUAGUUGGUAAGGUAACGGCUUACCAAGGCAACGAUGCGUAGCCGACCUGAGAGGGGGAUCGGCCACACUGGAACUGAGACACGGUCCAGACUCCUACGGGAGGCAGCAGUAGGGAAUCUUCCGCAAUGGGCGAAAGCCUGACGGAGCAACGCCGCGUGAGUGAUGAAGGUCUUCGGAUCGUAAAACUCUGUUAUUAGGGAAGAACAAAUGUGUAAGUAACUAUGCACGUCUUGACGGUACCUAAUCAGAAAGCCACGGCUAACUACGUG
rnacentral:rRNA from 1 species